rnacentral:rRNA from 1 species
GAUGAACGCUGGCGGCGUGCCUAAUACAUGCAAGUCGAGCGAACAGAUGAGGAGCUUGCUCCUCUGACGUUAGCGGCGGACGGGUGAGUAACACGUGGAUAACCUACCUAUAAGACUGGGAUAACUUCGGGAAACCGGAGCUAAUACCGGAUAAUAUAUUGAACCGCAUGGUUCAAUAGUGAAAGACGGUUUUGCUGUCACUUAUAGAUGGAUCCGCGCCGCAUUAGCUAGUUGGUAAGGUAACGGCUUACCAAGGCAACGAUGCGUAGCCGACCUGAGAGGGUGAUCGGCCACACUGGAACUGAGACACGGUCCAGACUCCUACGGGAGGCAGCAGUAGGGAAUCUUCCGCAAUGGGCGAAAGCCUGACGGAGCAACGCCGCGUGAGUGAUGAAGGUCUUCGGAUCGUAAAACCCUGUUAUUGGGGAAGAACAAAUGUGUAAGUAACUAUGCACGUCUUGACGGUACCUAAUCAGAAAGCCACGGCUAACUACGUG